rnacentral:rRNA from 1 species
GAUGAACGCUGGCGGCGUGCCUAAUACAUGCAAGUCGAGCGAACAGAUGAGGAGCUUGCUCCUCUGACGUUAGCGGCGGACGGGUGAGUAACACGUGGAUAACCUACCUAUAAGACUGGGAUAACUUCGGGAAACCGGAGCUAAUACCGGAUAAUAUAUUGAACCGCAUGGUUCAAUAGUGAAAGACGGUUUUGCUGUCACUUAUAGAUGGAUCCGCGCCGCAUUAGCUAGUUGGUAAGGUAACGGCUUACCAAGGCAACGAUGCGUAGCCGACCUGAGAGGGGGAUCGGCCACACUGGAACGGAGACACGGUCCAGACUCCUACGGGAGGCAGCAGUAGGGAAUAUUCCGCAAUGGGCGAAAGCCGGACGGAGCAACGCCGCGGGAGUGAUGAAGGUCUUGGGAUCGUAAAACUCUGUUAUUAGGGAAGAACAAAUAUGUAAGUAACUAGGCACGUCUUGACGGUACCUAAUCAGAAAGCCACGGCUAACUACGUG